GCGGGGGUUGCCAAGCUUGGUCAAAGGCGCAGGAUUGAGGGUCCUGUCGUGUAGACGUUCGCGGGUUCGAAUCCCGUCCCCCGCA
rnacentral:tRNA from 1 species